ACAAGCGGUGGAGUAUGUUGUUUAAUUCGAAGAUACACGAAGAACCUUACCAGGUCUUGACAUACCAUUGACAGGCGCAGAGAUGUGCUCUCCUUCGGGCAAUGGAUACAGGUGGUGCAUGGUUGUCGUCAGCUCGUGCCGUGAGGUGUUGGGUUAAGUCCCGCAACGAGCGCAACCCUCAUUGUUAGUUACUACCAUUCAGUUGAGGACUCUAAUGAGACUGCCAACGAUAAGUUGGAGGAAGGUGGGGAUGACGUCAAAUCAUCAUGCCCUUUAUGACCUGGGCUACAAACGUACUACAAUGGCCAAUACAAAGAGAUGCGAAGCGGUGACGUGGAGCGAACCUCAGAAAGUUGGUCUCAGUUCAGAUUGAAGUCUGCAACUCGACUUCAUGAAGCCGGAAUCGCUAGUAAUCGCGGAUCAGCCAUGCCGCGGUGAAUACGUUCCCGGGCCUU
rnacentral:rRNA from 1 species